CUACGGGGUGCUGCAGUGGGGAAUAUUGGACAAUGGGGGAAACCCUGAUCCAGCAAUGCCGCGUGUGUGAAGAAGGCCUGCGGGUUGUAAAGCACUUUCGGUUGGGAGGACUGCUUCUAGCACUAAUAUUGUUGGAAGUUGACGUUACCUUCAGAAGAAGCACCGGCUAACUCCGUGCCAGCAGCCGCGGUAAUACGGGAGGGUGCAAGCGUUAAUCGGAAUUACUGGGCGUAAAGCGCGCGUAGGCGGCUAGAUCAGUCGGGUGUGAAAGCCCCGGGCUUAACCUGGGAACUGCAUCCGAUACUGUCUAGCUUGAGUACAGGAGAGGAGAGUGGAAUUUCACAUGUAGCGGUGAAAUGCGUAGAUAUGUGGAGGAACACCAAUGGCGAAGGCAGCUCUCUGGCCUGAUACUGACGCUGAGGUGCGAAAGCGUGGGGAGCAAACAGGAUUAGAUACCCGAGUAGUC
rnacentral:rRNA from 1 species